rnacentral:rRNA from 1 species
GACGAACGCUGGCGGCGUGCUUAACACAUGCAAGUCGAACGGAAAGGCCCUGCUUUUGUGGGGUGCUCGAGUGGCGAACGGGUGAGUAACACGUGAGUAACCUGCCCUUGACUUUGGGAUAACUUCAGGAAACUGGGGCUAAUACCGGAUAGGAGCUCCUGCUGCAUGGUGGGGGUUGGAAAGUUUCGGCGGUUGGGGAUGGACUCGCGGCUUAUCAGCUUGUUGGUGGGGUAGUGGCUUACCAAGGCUUUGACGGGUAGCCGGCCUGAGAGGGUGACCGGCCACAGUGGGACUGAGAUACGGCCCAGACUCCUACGGGAGGCAGCAGUGGGGAAUAUUGCACAAUGGGCGGAAGCCUGAUGCAGCAACGCCGCGUGCGGGAUGACGGCCUUCGGGUUGUAAACCGAUUUCGCCUGUGACGAAGCGUGAGUGACGGUAAUGGGUAAAGAAGCACCGGCUAACUACGUG